rnacentral:rRNA from 1 species
CAGAGGUCUCAAGCGUUGUUCGGAUUCAUUGGGCGUAAAGGGUGCGUAGGUGGCGGGGUAAGUCAGGUGUGAAAUUUCGGAGCUCAACUCCGAAACUGCAUUUGAUACUGCCUUGCUUGAGGACUGGAGAGGAGAUUGGAAUUCACGGUGUAGCAGUGAAAUGCGUAGAUAUCGUGAGGAAGACCAGUGGCGAAGGCGGAUCUCUGGACAGUUCCUGACACUGAGGCACGAAGGCCAGGGGAGCAAACGGGAUUAGAUACCCCGGUAGUCCUGGCAGUAAACGGUGCACGUUUGGUGUGAGGGGAUUCGACCCCUUUCGCGCCGGAGCUAACGCGUUAAACGUGCCGCCUGGGGAGUACGGUCGCAAGAUUA